rnacentral:rRNA from 1 species
GACGAACGCUGGCGGCGUGCUUAACACAUGCAAGUCGAACGGAAAGGCCUGCUUUCCCUUGUGGAUUGCGGGUACUCGAGUGGCGAACGGGUGAGUAACACGUGAGUGAUCUGCCCCCAACUUGGGUAUAAGCCUGGGAAACUGGGUCUAAUUCCCGAUAGGACUGCAGGGUGGUGCCUGUGGUGGAAAACGAUUUUCUAGUGGUUGGGGAUGAGCUCGCGGCCUAUCAGCUUGUUGGUGGGGUAAUGGCCUACCAAGGCGGCGACGGGUAGCCGGCCUGAGAGGGUGGACGGCCACAUUGGGACUGAGAUACGGCCCAGACUCCUACGGGAGGCAGCAGUGGGGAAUAUUGCACAAUGGGCGGAAGCCUGAUGCAGCGACGCCGCGUGGGGGAUGACGGCCUUCGGGUUGUAAACUCCUUUCGACUGCGAGGAAGCCACCUGGUUGGAAGGGUGGUGACGGUAGUGGUAGAAGAAGCACCGGCUAACUACGUG